UUGGGAUUUAUCCUAACACUGUGAGAUGGGCCCGCGGCGCAUUAGCUAGUUGGUGAGGUAAUGGCUCACCAAGGCAACGAUGCGAGCCGACCUGAGAGGGUGAUCGGCCACCCUGAACUGAGACACGGUCCAGACUCCUACGGGAGGCAGCAGUAGGGAAUCAUCCGCAAUGGGCGAAAGCCUGCCGGUGCAACGCCGCGUGAACGAUGAAGGUCUUCGAAUUGUAAAGAUCUGUUGUUAGGGAGGAACAAGUGCCAUUCGAAUAGGUUGGCACCUUGACGGUACCUAACCAGAAAACCCCGGCUAACUACGUGCCAGCAGCCGCGGUAAUACGUAGGGGGCAAGCGUUGUCCGGAAUUAUUGGGCGUAAAGCGCGCGCAGGCGGUCUCUUAAGUCUGAUGUGAAAGCCCACGGCUCAACCGUGGAGGGUCAUUGGAAACUGGGGGACUUGAGUGUAGGAGAGGAAAGUGGAAUUCCACGUGUAGCGGUGAAAUGCGUAGAUAUGUGGAGGAACACCAGUGGCGAAGGCGACUUUCUGGCCUAUAACCGACGCUGAGGCGCGAAAGCGUGGGGAGCAAACAG
rnacentral:rRNA from 1 species